GAUGAACGCUAGCGGGAGGCUUAACACAUGCAAGUCGAGGGGCAGCAUAGGGUAGCAAUACUCUGAUGGCGACCGGCAAACGGGUGAGUAACGCGUAUGCAACCUACCCUGUACAGGGGGAUAACCCGGAGAAAUUCGGACUAAUAUCCCGUAAUAAUAUCCGGAGGCAUCUUUGGAUAUUUAAAGUUCCGACGGUACGGGAUGGGCAUGCGUAACAUUAACUGGUUGGUAAGGUAACGGCUUACCAAGGCUAUGAUGUUUAGGGGUCCUGAGAGGGUGGUCCCCCACACUGGUACUGAGACACGGACCAGACUCCUACGGGAGGCAGCAGUGAGGAAUAUUGGUCAAUGGGCGCAAGCCUGAACCAGCCAUCCCGCGUGCAGGAAGACGGCCCUAUGGGUUGUAAAACUGCUUUUCCAGGGAGAGAAACUUACGCACGUGUUGCGUGACUGACGGUACCCUGGGAAUAAGCAUCGGCUAACUCCGUGCCAGCAGCCGCGGUAAAAAGUGUGUGUA
rnacentral:rRNA from 1 species